rnacentral:lncRNA from 1 species
CAACACUGAAACGGCACCCAUCUCCUAGCCCGUUUCUGCCCCGCUUCAACUCGCCGAGUUUGUUGGUCCCUCCUUGCAUCUCUCUCCAACAUGGCUUAACCAUUUCUGACAGAUUCUCUCUCCCUCACAUGCGCUCUCUUUGUUUUUUUCCGGAUUUUUACUCUUUUAGAUGGAAAUUAGGAAAAAUGAGAGGCGUAGGAUUGAGUGAAAUUGGAUCCACUCCCUCCAUUUGUCCGUUUUUUCCAUCAAAAAGGGUAAAAAAUCAGAUUUGGAUUUUGCGAAUUUUUGGGAGAUUUCUUGGGAAGGAAGCAUAGAAGGUUCGAGAAUAUUGGAGGUUUAUAUAUAAAGUAAGGAUUUUCUUGGUUAAGGGGUCAGAGAUUUCUUUCGGAAAUUGAGGGAGGUAAAAAGUUCGAGGGUUCUUGCUUUUCUUUUCUUCAGAUUCCUCAAUUUUAGUUUGCGCUUUUCAGAAAACAAAAAUAAAAAAUAGUCUGAGUUUGAUUUUGUUUUAGUUUUACUUCAUUUCAAAAGAAAAAUAAAAAAUUACCAAAAUCUCAACAUUUUUCUGAUUUCUGAUUCUCAAGAAUGGAGUUGGAUUGAAGUUUAAGUUGGAGCUUGUGUUUGGGUUCGGAAUUUCGGUGCCGUUUUGAGUUCCGUUCGAGUUUGUUUCUGAUUUCAUUCGGCUUAUUCUAGCUUUUCUCUGUUCAAUCGGGUAAGUUUUUGGGAAACUUCUGUGUCUUAUGCUAUAGUGUCUUAUUGAAAGGAGCUCUCAACAAGCCAAAAUCUUCAUACUGUUUUCUUUGAGUAUUUUCAUUAUGAAUAGUUAAACGAUGACUAAAUCCUUCAGUUAAUUUUGAUAUACAUUGUGUUUCUUAAGUGUUAAUUAUUGGUAGUGUCUUUAUGUGAGAACUUUUAUAUCAAAUGGCCCAAUUUGAAGAAGCCAAGGGCUUUGCAUGGAUGAACUAGGAAAUCUUCCUCCAUAUAAUAUGUGCAAGCCACUGGUCGUCCAACUUUCCUCUUUACUAUUUUCUGAUUCCAUUUCCUCUGUUAUUUUUGGUUUUCCAUUAUUAUGAUGGUUACAUCAAGCUCGUAAUAUUGUACUCCAUUUUGUAAGUGUAACUAGGGGAGAUACAACUAACGCAGGCUACACAAAAUAUUGUCGACUCUGUUCCAUUUCAUUACUGCAUUUUAAUUUUAGGCAAUACUUGUAAUUUUGUUUCUGUCCAGGUGGAGUCAUUAUAGUUACAACUAUAAGAACGAUUGCAUAAUAAACAAUUUUAUGUUUUUUUUAAAUAAAGGUGAAUAGAUUUGCAUGAAGGAAGUUUUUUUUUAUUUAAGUUAAAAUUCCCACUGAAUUAUUGGACUGAAACGGUGAAAGAAUGGACAUUUGACAUUUUUAGUUUAUGGGAGGAAACUGGAAACUAGAAAAAGAAGAACCAAGGGAUGUUUUUGUUGAUUUGCUAAAUGUUGUCAAAAAAUAUAUAUAUUCAUAAAAUGUUGGUGUUAAUAUAGAUCAUUUUUAUACAAGUACUUGAAUAUGAAAAUUGUUGUCAUACUUUUUAAACCCUCACCCUGUAUCUUGCUCUUCUGUUGAUACUGCUUUACCUGUGUAUACAAGUACUUCUGUUGAUAUGGCAUUCACAAUGUGUUGUGUCCUCUUUACCUGUUGAGCGUGAGCAAGCGUAAAUGUUGCCAUUUUGGCUUGUGCUAAGCUACUGGCUACUGUUAGGCCUGCCCAAAAACCAUUUUCUUUAUCAAAUAAUGGGCCUAGCCACAUUUCUGAUUAAAUGAACUUGGCCCAUGAGAGUUCGAACAGAAUGUUAGACUUUGGUUAAUUUUUUUUCGUUGUAAUUUUAUUUUGUUUAACUGGACCAUUAGGAAUAUGCUUAGGCCGUUAAUAUUCAUAAAUAUCGUAGUUUUCUUUAGGCACAUAAUUAAAUCAUCACAACUACGGGUAUGGUUCUCAUGGCGUGGCUGUGAUCCCUAAUUUCAAAUUAAUGUUAAAUAUGAAUAUCUAUAGUUCACCUAAUUGAAUGCUUUUCCUUUAAUAAAUUUGAGGCGUGCCAUCCAAUCACCUAGUCUAUGACCCUCACAUCGAUAUUUUAACUAGUGUAGAAAAAUACCCUGAACUCAGUUUGUUUUAGGCGCGUUAAUUAAAUAAAUUGUCAUAGCUACGGGUACGGUUCCCGCGACGUAGUUGUGAUGCUUAAUUUCUAAAACCCGGGGGUACAUUUAUGUGACCCGGCGAAAAGUCUUGUUAAUAAAAUAAACAUGUUAUGGAUCGUGGGUAUAUUCUCGUGACAUGAUUCACGACGUGUAAUCAAAUAAUUGGUUGUAUAACAAUUGGAUUAUUAAAAGUGGUUUAAAAGAAAUAAAAUGCGCAUAGGUUUAAAAGAUGUUUUAAAAUCAAAUAAAUAGGACAAUAUUAACAGUUGAGCAACCGUGCUAAAACCACGGAACCCGGGAAUGCCUAACACCUUCUCCCGGGUUAACAGAAUUCCUUACCCGAAUUUUUGCGUUUCGCGGACUGUAAAACAGAGUCAAUCUUCCUCGAUUCGGAAUUUUAAAUCGGUGACUUGGGACACCAUAAAUUAUCCCAAGUGACGACUCUGAAUUUUAAAUAAAUCAUCCCAUUUCGAUUGUCAAUUAAAUUAGAAAAACUCUCAUAUACCCUUCUAGGGGUAGAAAAGGGAGGUGUGACAAGUUCUUCUAUGACUUCGUGCAUAUAUGCUACAUGUCCAAAUUAUUGUGGUUGCCUGUGUAGUUAUCACAUGCCUUACAUGUCUUGUUGUUUUUGUAAAGGUUGUUGCAUUCCUUUGAAUCUUACGUGAUUCUCUUGUUGUUGUGUACUCAUACUCUUAGUGGUAGAAAUUCUUGUAAUUGAGUUGUUGAAUUGUUGUUGUUGAUUUAGAUUAUGUACGGUGGGAUCGGGUUGCACGCCACAACAGGAGGAAUAAGGGUGAUAUAUUGAGGAGGAAUAAGGGUGAAUUGAUAUUGUAUGGUGGGAUUGGGUUGCGUGCCGCAACAAGAGGAAUAAUGGUGAUAUAUUGAGGAGGAAUACGGGUGAAUUUAUAUUAUAUAGUGGAAUCGGGUUGCGCAACGCAACAUAUUAUGUUAUUAUUAUGAUAUUGAUAAUAUAUGGUGGGAUCGAGUUGCGCACCGCAACAUAUUAUGAUAUUGAUAUUAUACGGUGGGAUUGGAUUGCACGCAUCAACAGGAGGAAUAAGGGUGAUAUAUUAAGGAGGAAUAAGGG